rnacentral:rRNA from 1 species
UACAGGGGGGGCAAGCGUUGUUCGGAAUUACUGGGCGUAAAGGGUUCGUAGGUGGCCACUUAAGUCAGACGUGAAAUCCCUCAGCUUAACUGGGGAACUGCGUCUGAUACUGGAUGGCUUGAGUUUGGGAGAGGGAUGCGGAAUUCCAGGUGUAGCGGUGAAAUGCGUAGAUAUCUGGAGGAACACCGGUGGCGAAGGCGGCAUCCUGGACCAACACUGACGCUGAGUGAGCGAAAGCCAGGGGAGCAAACGGG